UACGUAGGGUGCGAGCGUUAAUCGGAAUUACUGGGCGUAAAGCGUGCGCAGGCGGUUCGCUAAGACCGAUGUGAAAUCCCCGGGCUUAACCUGGGAACUGCAUUGGUGACUGGCGGGCUAGAGUGUGGCAGAGGGGGGGAGAAUUCCACGUGUAGCAGUGAAAUGCGUAGAGAUGUGGAGGAAUGCCGAUGGCGAAGGCAGCCCCCUGGGCUAACACUGACGCUCAUGCACGAAAGCGUGGGGAGCAAACAGG
rnacentral:rRNA from 1 species